AACAAACGCUGGCGGCGUGCCUAACACAUGCAAGUCGUACGAGAAAUCCUGAGCAAUCGGGAGAGUAAAGUGGCGCACGGGUGAGUAACGCGUGGGUAACCUACCCUUAAAUUUGGGAUAACUUCGCGAAAGCGGGGUUAAUACCGGAUAAUAUUCCGACUUCUUCGGGAGUUAGAAUCAAAGGUGGCCUCUGCAUGCAAGCUAUCGUUUAAGGAUGGGCCCGCGUACCAUUAGCUUGUUGGUAGGGUAAUGGCCUACCAAGGCGACGAUGGUUAGCUGGUCUGAGAGGAUGGUCAGCCACACUGGAACUGAGACACGGUCCAGACUCCUACGGGAGGCUG
rnacentral:rRNA from 1 species